UACGAAGGGGCUAGCGUUGUUCGGAAUUACUGGGCGUAAAGCGCGCGCAGGCGGUCUUCCAAGUCAGUGGUGAAAGCCCGGAGCUCAACUCCGGAACUGCCAUUGAAACUGUAAGACUUGAGUACGAGAGAGGUGAGUGGAAUUCCCAGUGUAGAGGUGAAAAUUCGUAGAUAUUGGGAAGAACACCGGUGGCGAAGGCGGCUCACUGGCUCGUAACUGACGCUCAGGCGCGACAGCGUGGGGAUCAAACAGG
rnacentral:rRNA from 1 species